rnacentral:lncRNA from 1 species
UCAUGCGGGAGAGCGGCUGGCGGCGCAGCGCGUUGGCGGAGAGCUUGCGGAGGGCCGUCGCCAUGGCCAUGGUGGGCGGUGGCGGGCGCGUCCACCUCCUCCUCCUCCUGUGAUGUGCUGUGGGUUGGAGCCUCGACUCGCUCGCGAGUUUGGGAGGCAGUGGAAUUGGUAGCUUUUUAUGGGGUUUAUUUAUAUACUCGUAUUUUAUUUUAGGCGGAUAAUCUAUGCCCGUCCCGUGCUCGUGGGUUUGGUUGGAUGGCCAGGCAGGCGCAGGCCAGUGCUUGGUCUCCAUCAGCGUCAGCGCCCACCACUCCACUCCUCACCAAACGCAUCAGCGUCACCAACCCAUGAACAGAUCAGUGAGUCUCCAUUCAUUUCAGUUUCAUUUUUUCUUGCACGUAUUCGGCAUUCCCGUUCCUACUCCACGUUUUCCUCUAAAAUCUUCCGUUCUUUUUUUUGUUAGUCCUCAUUUAUCUUGCACCCAAGUGUAUUCGGCAUUCCGGCUUCUAGUCCACGUUUUCCUCUAAAAUCUUCAGUUCUUUUUUCAUUUUAUAUAUUUGUGUUUUUGGAAUAUACUCUUUUUUUUGCCACUUUUACUUGUAGCACAGCGUCCAUGACAACGUAAACACUGAGCACAUUGUCUUAAAUUUAGGGUUUGUUUGGUUUCUUUGUUAAAUUUUAGCUAGCUAAAACUAUUUUAGCUAUUCUUAGAAAAAUAGUGUGACUAAACUAUUUUAGCUUUUUUUAGAGUUUGUUCGCUAGUCUAAAAAGUCAUGGUUGAAAAUACUGUUUGUUGAUUUAUUGUGAGAGAAAGAUAUUGUUGGCUGGCAGAAAAAGUACGGCUUAGUCAGUAAAACGAGUUUAGCUGGCUAAAAUUUAGCAAAGAGAACUAAUCAGACCCUUACUUUCUCUUUUGGUUUCUAAGAUUCAACUUGUUGAAAUGGCAAUUCCAGUUUUUAGACAGUGAGAAUUUUCUGGACUGCAACUGAAAGAUUCUGGGCAUCUAGGUGAUUUAUUAUUAUUAGCGUAAACUGUACCUGUUUUUUAACCCGCCAGAUUAUUAUAUACUGUACUGAACAGUCAACUAACAUAUAUUCCCAAAAAAAACAAAGAGUAUCAGUAUCAACAGACAGGAAAUUUGGUUUCAUCUGGGCCAGAUUCGCAUCUCAAAUGACCGCUAGAGCAAGGGCAAAGUUGGUCCCUGGACUGUGCCCUGAAUAGUUUCAGCAUGGAUUAGGGCUUGUUUAGAUACAUCCAAAAACCCAAAACUUUUUACAAGAUUCUCCAUCACAUCGAAUCUUACGGCACAUGCAUGAAACAUUAAAUAUAGAUAAAAAAGAUAACUAAUUGCACAGUUUGACUGUAAAUCACGAGACGAAUCUUUUAAGCCUAAUUACUCCAUGAUUAGACAAUGUUUGUCAAAUAAAAACGAAAGUACUACAGUGUUAAAAUCCAAAAAUUUUUUGAAUCUAAACGAAGCCUUAUUAUUAAACUUUCACGAUGACCACCAACCAUAGCACGAAAGAUUCUUCACAUCGAACCAGACAUGGUUGAGCCUGCGCCCUGCAGGAACGGAGGGCCUACCCUGGAGCUGUGAUUUGGUAAAGUGGCACCAAUCGUAAGGCAGCUCAACCACUGAACCUACACUCUAAAUCAUCCAUCGCCAAACACUCAGAAAGCGACAUCACAAGCAAUAUUAUUCUAAACGCUAAACAGUACUCAAUCCAUCCCAAAUCGUUUGACUUUUUUAAUAUCAAGUUUAACUACUCGUCUUAUUCAAAGUUUUGUACAAAAUAUCAUUUUUUUUGUUGUGUAUUGGUUUAUUAAUAAAAGUUCUUCAAGAUUGACUUAAAUUUUAACUAUAUUUGCAUAAAUUUUUUGAAUAAGACGAGUAGUCAAAUUUAGGGUAAAAAAGUCAAACGACUUACAAUUUGGGAUGGAGGGAGUAAAUAUUUAGUCACCCUUUAUUUAGGUUUACAUAGAGUUAAACGGUCUAAACAGUUUUAUAUAUUAACAAUAAAUAUACAUAUUUUUGUACAUAAAAGUAAAUAUGCUAGAAAGUAUAUGUAAAAAGUAAGUAUGCUACUAAAUAAUAUUUUUUCUGAAGAAAUCUAAAUCCCAUUACACUUCAUAUAGAUGCUAAUUACUCUAGUGUUGAGUGUUGAUUGUGAUAGUUGCAAUCCUCCAAUUGACUAAAUUAUGAACUAAAUGGCCAUUUAGCUCAUUUAAACUUGUUUAACUCAAUUCUAUUUGGACAGUUGUUAACAGUUUAAACAGGUUUAAAUAAUCUAACCGUUAAAUGCACCAUUUAGAGCCUAAACAACGCAGGUGGCCUCCGUUUACCGUUUAAACACAGCCUAUUUAGGCGACCAAUGAUCAUGAGAGAUUUUUUUUUUCACAUAAGAGAAGGUUAUUGCCAAAUCAUUGUUCCUUCUAUGCAUGAAUCAAUCAUUUAACACAAUUACAGCAUGUCGGGAAAAAGUAGAUUCUAUCGUAGGUCUAUGAUCAGGCGGGAAAAAGUGAUUUUAUCGGAAAGUCUAUGGAGAGGACUGCGCCAAGGUGUAGCUGCAUUGCGUUUGCGUACGUGCAUCCAGGCCACCCGAUCCCUAUCUGUUCCACGGCCACAGGUGAGCAAAAGCGGAAACACUACCCACGAGUUCGUAAUUGAAAGCGGGUAUAAAACGAUCAAUCUGAGUCUCAAAUAAUAAAAAGAGCGAAAUUAGUAGAUGAAAAUAAGCAUGUGUUUUUUCCUUAAUUUCCACAUUCAUGAAUUUGACUUCCCCCCAGUCCAAGUACCAAGCAAGAACAAAGGUAGAGUACUUGAUGACUUUUGUCAAAAAAAAAAAGGAAAAAAAAGGCUACUUGAUGACUGGCUAUCAGUCCGAAUCCAAGUAGAAACAAAGGUAGAAAGACAAACCACAACAGUACGCAUAAGCAAGUGAAGAAUCAUUUACAGAGUUUAGAUUAUUACAUUUCUAAUACCAUUAGGUCCCAUAUACUAUGCUUAAAAGUAAAAUUUUCUGACAACUUAAAGGGGUUUUGCCCUUGGUCAGCGUGCCAUCAUGUUCAUUUUACAUCAGAGAAGAGAAGCAACUAGAAGUCCAAGUUCCAAAAAUUGUAUUUCUAACAUCUAGGUUACAAAGAAAGCCACAUGGCCACGACAGGGAACCAAAACCGUAAGUACAGGCAUGUACAUUAUAUUUGAACCAGAUAAAGUUCACAUAAGGUUCCUAUGGGGAAAAGAGGAAAGUUUGGGUCAGCCUAAACGAACUUGCCUGUCUUUUCUUCUUUUCUUCAAUGUUCUCUGCCUCUUUGGAUGGGUCAUCCGCCUCUACAAGGUCUUGAACCCUUAAUCCAGAGGGGCUGUGUGCAUGUGUCCAUCAAAUUGCAUAUGCUGGGCUAUUCAUUGAACAUUUGAACGCAUACCAUGCGCAAGCCCAAUUACAAAAAAAACAGUGCACUAACUUCAGCGCCCCACAUUGUUGGUAUCUGGAACACAUGGGGUCGGGCAGAAAAGAGAUUGUAUAUGUCCAGGCCAUGAGCUGCACGUGUAGGCUGGAUUAUUAUUAUGCUAAUUCACUUGGACCAAUCCAUAGCCAUUCAUGCGUACUAUGGAGCCUCUUCUUUGCCAGCAUUUGAGAGGCUGGAUCGAAUUCAAACCCUCCUACAGCUCAUGUUUGAAACAGUUAGUCCCAGCCUUUGCUUUGGCUACAAGGGGAAAAAGAUAAUAGCCACAAUCAGAGAUCUUGUUUCACUAUCAUCCAUAGUAACUAGCAGCCAUAUCACGUGUUGGGCAUGCUACAGUAAUCCUUUCUUUUGUUGAUCUGGAAAUAUGGUAACAAGGUUAAUUGGACAUAUGUGAGUGCUAAUUCCAAAUGUUGUAAAUAAACCAGAAAAUCAAAAUUGUCCAAUUCAAUAUUAAUGGAAAUUUAUCCAAGAAAAAAAAGGUGAAAACACAUGAAAAGAAGUGCUGAUGACUUUAUGGGGUGUGAUACAAAUAUUUCUGUGUGAAAAAUGGUAGCUAACUAUAACUGAUAUGUUGCUCAUAAAAAAAGAAAGUAAGGGUACAACAAAAAGUAUACCCAAGUAAGAUCAAUAGAACCAUAGGUACACAAAGGAAAGAUGCAUUUACAAAGUGAUCCAUAAAUUGUUCAGCAGAAAAUCAAAACUUAUGCCAGAAAGAUUACUCCAAAUAAUAAGAUUGCCACUUAACAACAACCAGGGCAGAAAUCAACUGAGAAGGGGCACAUACCAACUAGGCAAACAACAAUGAACAGUACUGUAGAACACAAAAACUGAGGUCUCAGCUUCAGCUGAUCUUGGACAUGAUGAAAGAUUGUUUGGAACCAUUUUUCUGGUUUUCAAUCCAACCACUCAUUUGGAUUUCAAAAGAAGGGAAAUAACAAAAAGCCACCUACAAGUUUUACAAGAUUUUAGUUUCUGACCACCCUUAGAAUCCUGUGUUGCUUCAUGGUAGAUUAUGUCGUGCAAACAGUCUUCGACUGAUUCAUCUCUUGCCACAGUGGACCAUGUGGGUGUUAAACUCAGUGGAGUUUUAGCCCAAUUCUAGAAAUUGCGCACAUGUUUAGCAAAAUCAAUUGGGUUCAAUGAACAUUCCACAUAUGUGCAUGCAAAUGGACACAAAAAUCUGCUACUUUACUAGAUUGUUGGCACAGAUAUCCAUGCAUAUAGGGUGGCCAUUGUCACACAGAAUGCCACACCAUCUCAAUAGCUGUUCAAACUCAAUGCUGAGGAUCAGCUAGAACAUAAUCAACAAAAAGUAUACCCAAGAGCAUAAUCAACAAAACCUCUGCAAAAAAGGUAGCCCCAAACCUCUCUGCAAAAUCCAGCCAAACACCACCCAAAUGCCAAAUCCAAACAUUUGUCUCAACUUUGCUAUUUUACAGGAUAAUGCUGCCACACCCUCUACCUCCCAUCCACACCACCAUUUCCCUUGUUGUCAUGGGCAUCCCCUAGCCUUAGCUGUGUAGCUGGCGUCUCAAGAAGUGAACAGUACGAGAAGUCAAGCAUCGGGACCCAAGUCAGAUUUAAGGUCCACACUGGCAAGUGAUGGGCCAGACAAUUUGCUACAUCAGGUGUCCACGCGAGCAGCCACUUGCACGAUCAACACAGGAUCCAAAGGGAGGUGAGAAUUUGAAACCACAUAAAACUUGUGGGAGGUUGACUGGAACAAAUGUACUUGUGGGUGUUUUUUUUCCCUGAAAAACACACCAACUUGUCCUCUGGGGAGCUUUUGUUACUUUCUUUCUAAGAAUAGUCCAGUGUGAAAAGGUUUUAAGACUCAUUUAUUUUAUAAUUGAGCAACAAUCCUGCAAUCUGAUGAAUUUUGAACCCUAAUGCUGUUCUCCUUUUGGAUCAGGUAGACAACACAUCUUUGACAAAAUUAAAGAAAAAAAACACUAUUUUCCUUAGACUGACCACCCAGGUCCUUGAAAUUCCAAUCAAGAAACUAAAGAACGAAAGUUCAAUAUGUUGUCCUUGCACUUGUAGUGAAUGAUUACUCAAUUUCUUAGACUUCAAAAUUAACUAUAGAUCCCCGUAGUUGCAAAUCAUCUCUUACAAACUUGAACAUGGAAAUUAUGUAAACUAGGAUGUUAAACCUUAUUAUGCUAGUUUUCUGACAAGGAGUUCUUCAGACGUUUCACAGCAGGAAGGUAUAAAUGAGUUGCUCAUCAAGACAAAUGAAGGCUUUAAUGGCCUUUAUCAGGAUUUUAAUAUUAUUGAGGAUCCCUUGUGCCGCUCAGAGGUUGCAUAUCACUAGUUACCCUGGGGUCAGAGCCAAAGCCAAUACAGCUGCUCAAGUGUACAUCAUUAACAUCCUUUUCAUUAGGCAGAAACCGAUCAAUUUCUAAGAUAUAUCAAGCUUAGUUUCUUCUAGCAGUCAGCAGUCUAUUACCACAGAGUGCCCUCCUAAGUCACCGCCACCGCAUACACACCAGCUUCAGUUUUAUCUUGAGAACAUCAGUAAAAAAAAGAAGUGACAGAAAGAUUGCUGUACGUUAUAACGAUAACCAGCAGCCACACAUAAGGAGACCUAUGGUUUAAAAAACAUAAAGUAAGGCAAAUAGAAAAGAUUCAGGUAACCAUUGUAAGCUUGGGCAUAAUAUCAAGUUAUUACCUGGAGUCCUGGACAAUUUAGAACUAUGUAAUUUCGUUACGCUAGUAAUGAAAUUCAGUUUAACCAUUGUGGAAAAAGUUACCUGGACAAUUUGCCCAUGCACAAUGAAGUCACAUCUUUGAAUCAUAUCCAAGGUGUCCAUCCCUCGUACAUAUUGCAUAAGUUGUCGAUGCUUGUUGCUUGUUUAAGAAGAUAAUCAACUUGCUCAGAAAUAUUCAAGGACCUUGACAGAAUAACAUGAGAUCAAUAAAACAAGAAAUGUAAAUAAAUAAAAUUGACUGCUAAAAUUCUUCCUCUUAAUUGCCCACCUGGUACCAUCUAUAUCCUGUCCAUGUAACUUAUGCUCCACUUGCUUCAGGAUGGACAGAGCAAAAGGAUUUUUACCUGUUGCCAUCAAUGAGAACAAGCAAAUGCUAGUUGUAAAUUUGUUUCAGCUUCAGAAUGCUUAAGGCAUUUACUUGAUUAGAAGCUAAGAAGUUCUCAGACACAAAAAAGACUAUGAAAAUACAAAGGUAUGAGUAUUUACAAUAUUCAAUCUCCCACAAAGAACUAACAUGAGAGAAAAUUACUCACCUUUUUGCAUUAAUCUUUCUUAUAUAAACCAAAAAUAGAUAGCAUACUGAGUAUAAGGUUGAUUAAGUUAAAGAUGUCUAAUGUCUUAUUAUUAUUUUUACAGUAUAUGCAAUUUUAGUUGCUUCUUAGAUGAAAAUUAUUCGGUGUCGACAUAGUGAUGCCUGCACAUUUACAAACAGAUUAAAACAAUAAUGAUCUGAUAAUUUUAAGUGUCGAGAUACACAAUACAUCUCUUAUAUUAGUUUUCAGAGCGGCAUAGUUUUCUGUCAGACAAAACAAUUCAGUAAAACCAAAAAGAAGUAUCAGAUACAGGCCAUCAACCCUUUUAUUUUUGUCUUACCUCUGCUCACUCGAGUAGUCGAGUCACUAUAGGAUUUAGGAUCGCUGUUGUCACAUUCUUGUCCUCUAACUUGUUUGAAGGCUGCUGCACUGUUAUCUGCACUUUCAAUCCUUCCCUCCACCAAAUCGGUUUCAACUUCCUGAUUGUUGCUACUGUCUUUUGUUUCCUGGUCAGUAGCACCAGGACCUUCUAUUUCAGCCCCAUCAUCCAUAAGAGCAUCUAUUUUCUCUAAGUUGUCAUAAGAACUAAUCUGGGUCAAUCCUGUAGUACAUCCAGAACUGCUAGUAUAUGAGUGCUCUGGAGGUGAAAUCCAACAUCCAUCUUGCAAAGAAACGUCGGUAUUCAUUUCUAAAUCUGAAGAACCACAAUCUGUGCCACCUGGAGAUGCUCUAUCCUUCUCAGUUGAUGGAUCACUUUGCAAAAGAUCAGGAUGUGUUGAGAGCAUAUCCUGGGAUCUCACAGAUUCCCUUUCUCCUGGAACUUCUAGAGCCUGUGAAUAAGAAAAAAAGAUGAGUGAGAUAAUAGAUACCUAGACAAAUGUAGCAAAAAGAAAGGGUUAGUGUUAAACUUAUGUAUGUACACCAAAAUACAUCUAUAUUCCUUGUAAAAAAUAGCAAUAAAAAAUGACUAAAUAGACAAAGUAGAAAUGUCUGUACGUCACAUGAGUAUUUACAAAUUCAGAUUCGCAUACAUUGACCAGGAAGUUCAAACAUGGUCAAGCUUCUGCUAUAUAUUACUGCACCUGAAGCUUUGCAAAAUAUUCACCUCUUUUAUUAUUUUCACUUAAAUUUCAAACUGUGAUUGCAAAUGAUUAACAUGCUCUCAACAUAUAACAUUUCUUAGCUAAGUACCUUGUGAAGAUUCCCAGCAUGAAGACUUGAGAUGUGUCCAAGCUUCAUUACCAUGGAAUGCAGUUCCUUCGCAUUCUCAGUGAGUGGACCCACCAGAGGUUCCAUAGUUUUGCAAGCUUCCCUAACUUUAAUGUUAUAAGAUUGGUGUAAUGCCUUUCCAUGAAUAAGAGGCAUACUAGCAUUAUUCUUCUCUCUUUCCUUUGAAAUCGCUUCAGACAUAACAGUUACAUCAGCACAUAGACAGGCUUCAAGUGGAAAUAAAAUUGUAUUUGCCUGUUGAGCACAAAACAUAAGCUCUUCUUCAGAUUAAAAAAAAAAGCAAUGCCAUGUUCUACCAAAAACAAUAUUGAUGAUAAGUAUUUAUAUGUUACAUGAAUAUUGUUUAGCAUAUUCCAAUAAUGUUUUUUUAAAAAAAAAAAAUCGACCUGCGGGGGGUAAGACAGCCCCCAGGCAUUGCAUUAAGAAGAAGACCUUCUCACGCAGGUCUAAAAAAACCCCGAACCCCUGCUCCACCCAUACACCAGUGGCACCGUAGCCUAUGUGAGAACGACCACGACCGGGACCGGGCCUUAGACCUGUGCUUUAGCAUGGGACAGACGAGGGGAUUUUUUUAACCUUAGCCUGAAAAUUCGCUCCCACAGGGAGUCGAACCCAGGACCUAAGGAGUGCUGCCGGGUUCCUCUAACCAACUGGACUAGAGGCCCUUUGGCCAAUAAUGUUUUUAUGAUCCACAUAUAUCAAAACCAUGUCGUUAUUAAAAUUUUAAUAUACUGAAAUCUAAAAAUGUAUGCACAUGAAAAACAGGUAAAUAUAUUGAUCUUGGGGAACGAAAUUUGAUGAACAAAGAGAAGCAGUGACAAGCCUUGGAAAGGUUGGUCAUAAGGGAACUGUGCACUGCAGCAGCUUCCUUCCCCAGAGUGUACACAUCAUGCAACCCAUCUGCUAUAGCUAAAACCUGCAAAUAAUUCACCAGGAACUCAGGAACAAGAAAUAACUGAUUCAACCACAUUGUCAUGAACAACUAAAAAGAGAGUGUGACUACAUAAAACAGACCACCAGAUAUGAAACCUCUAGUUCAUCAUAGUUGAAGAGUUAAAAAUCAUUAUAGAAGUGCAUAUACGAUUCAGCAAUAGCAAACAUCGAGCUAAAUAAUAUUAAUUUCUCAAUUCAAGGUCAAUGUAGUUACAAACCAUUUGCAGACUUCCACAGCCCAAUUCACACAGUUGUCUUGACUAACUCUUAUGCAAUCAUUAAACUCAAAACAAAAAGUUUGAUCAAGAUGAUAUUUGGUUAUGUACCUCCUCGAGCAAGGAACCACAUUCAGAAGUCAAAGCAGUGCGGUCCUGUGAUACAUGUUUGAAUCCAGAUAGCAAUGCACUUGCUUCACAAGCAUGUUCAUACAUAACAACAAGAGCAUCCUGCAGAUUAGCUGGCAAAAGAUACCAAUCUGUUAUACAAUGAUAAAUACAGGGAAUAUAUCUUACAAGUUCCAACAUUGGAUGAUAAAAAAGAAACAAAGCAACAACUUCAUAAGUAGGAGUGGCAUACCUAAAGCAGAAUUUGCUUUCACAGAGCCUGCUGAAACCUGGUUGUUUGCUGAAAACAAGGCUUUUCCAGCAGCUUCCAGGCUGAGUUGACCAAGUUUCCAUUCUUGUUCUGCACCUGUUUGUAACAUAAGUAAACUAUUAUGAAACAGGAGAAACUUAUGUAGCAUAACAAGAGGAACCAUAAUGGAAGCUGUGUGCAAAACUUUCAGAUUCUGAGAAUUUGGCGAUACCCAUAUAUUUUGUUUAGUGGUAGUUGUGUAGCUGAUUACUAUAGAGCAUAAGGGGGUGUUUAGUUCCCUUCUAUUUCAAAAAAAAAAGGGUUUUGGUCCAUCAUUUUGCAUAAUGGAACUAAACACCAUGCAAAAACUUUGGCAAAAAGGUGGUUAUUCUCCAUUUUGGAUUUUGGCCUCAAGAGGCCAAAAAAAGCCCAAAAGAGCCUCAUGAGGGCAAUAAAUUCUGCAUUUUGGAUGAAACUAAACAUAACCCUGAAAAUUUUGGCAUUUUGCAUUCCAUCAUUCCAAAGUAGUUGGCAUUUUGCAUUUUGCAUUUUAUGGGGAACUAAACACCCCCUAAAUGAAAAGGUAACAAAAAUAAACAAAAGUUAUGGUACAAACAAGCAACCACAGCCUACACUAGCACAUCAGCACAAUUAACACCACAAACCACAAGAAACCAACAGGCUAUCUUCAGCAGAUGCAGCUUUUUAGAGAGAGACUAAACUAUCCAUACAAUCUCCACAGAAAUUUACCGCGCACAUGGACAGCAUCAAGCGUAACUUGAAUGGAAAUAUGAAAGGAUGAAUAAUCAACUUACAUGUAAAAGAAUGAUAUGAUGCAUCUAGACGUGCCAGGAGAUUCAAGAAAGUUUGCUGCCAGGCCCUGCCUUUGUCUGUAGAUUGUUCAGAAGCUUUAUCCUCAGGACCGAAGUAAAGUCCAUCUCUGGAUGCUUCAAACUCUAAAACAGAGGUGCAAAGUUGAACAAGAUCAGAUGCCUCUUUUUGAACCACUCGAAGCAAUCUCCUUCUUUUUAAUAUAUGACCAUGAAAUUCAGGGGGAAUUCCUGAACCCUUUGCCGUUGAGCCACCUGCACUGGAAGUAUUUGGUCCAGCACAGGCCCAUCCCAUUGCUCUCUCAAGUUGUCCUUCAGCCGAAAUAGAAAUGCUUUCACAAGCUUGCAGGAAUUCAAUUGACCUUGUUACUAAUGAGACAGAAGAUUGGAUCUUAUCUAACAAGUUGCUUCUGCUCAAAUUUAAAAUCAAAGAGAUGAACUUAUCAUCACUAAGAAUAUUUUGUGACAAAACCUUUGCCUUCUGUGCAUGUGGCGAUGAAAUAUCAUGUAGCCAUUCAACCUGAACUAUUUCCAAAAUGAUUUUGCGCAGGGCCUCAGUGAGUUCAUUUAAUUGCCUUUUCAUUAACGAAACUGCAGUACGGGCAGCUCUAGCUGUUUCAUGAGCAUUACAAUACUCCUCAAGCAUUAAUGCAACCCUUCCAACGGCAGCAGAAUCUCUUUUAGUCUGAUCUGAUUCUCUUAUUCCUUGACUCAGCUGCAGUAAAACACAAAUUUGUUCAUCCAACUUUAGGAUGAGUGCAGGAGCAAUCCUUUCUGUGACAUACCGGAAAACUUGUUUUUCCACAUGGCUUGCAAGCUUCUUUUUAAGAGUCAUGUAAAGUUGAUUAGCACUAAUACUAUGAUCAAGAGAAGAUGAAAUUUCAUGCAUGCAUAAAUCAAGAACUGAAUCAAGAAGAUUGAGUUCCCAAACGAAAAAAGCAUGAUCCUUCAAUAUGCCAGCUAAAGGCCACACCAUGUCAGACAAUGAAGAACCCAAAGACAAAGCAUCUUUAACAUUGGAAAUGGGAUGAGGGAACAUGCCAGAUGAUGAUAGCAUACGGUCAAGUGAUUCCAAGUCAGCAAAGGGCUUUGUCAAGAUUGAAAGGAGGGCCUUAAUUUGUCUAAAAUGAAACUCACUUUCCUGGUCAUGAUCCACCAAAGAUGAAACGUACUGUUUAGAAGAAAGCAAUGAAUUCAUGACACUGUCUUCUACUUUCAUAAGUGACGAAAUACGCAUAUCUUUCUGGCUCCAUGUUUCAUGUAGUUGUUCCAAUUGUGCCCUACAGAUUUCCUCCUGUGAAGCAAGCUCCUCUGCUUCUUCCCAUGAUAGAUGUUCUCUACCUCUUGCAGCAGCUUCUUCAAGAGCUAUUUGCUGCUCAGUAAUUCUGCCAACUUUCACAGAGUAAUUCUGUUCCAAUUCAGUAAGAGAUGCUCUCUCAAGUUCUACCUCAAUCAGCUUCCUUAGAGCAUUAUCAACAGAACCACGUACCUCAGAAAUUGACCUGAUGAUUUCCUUUACCUCUGAUUUAUGUGGAACAACUGAUCUGAUAAAUUCUGGAAGAAAAGUUUCAGUGAUUUGUUCAAUCAAGUUGAUACUUGAGUGCAAAGCGGCCUGAAAAGUAGAAGCCCAGUGCCUAGGACUGGGCUUUGCAUAAGUAGCACUUGUUUCAGCUAAGGUUUUCCCAAUAACUUCAUGCACUUCAUCAACAACUCCAGAGAUUAAUGCACAUUUUUCUAUGUGUUGUUCGAAAACUUGCAAGCUCAUUCCAGCAACAGCUUGAAGACCAGAAUCAUCUGUCCUAAAUUUAGCUUUUCCAAUAGCUUUAGUUGAGAGCUCAGAUACUUUGGCUCUAAUAUCACUAUAUAACUGACCCACAGCAAUCCCAAGAAUAGAGAGCACCUUACCUGUUGUCUCUUGUACAUCACCCUUGGUGGGAGUUUUGAUCUCACCCUGCUGAGGAUUUCCUGAAUGCGACAAAUGAGUAUUAUCGCCAUCCUUCUUUUGUGAAGGAAAUUGAACAGAGUUCAUGAAUGCAGAAAGUAUCCGCUCUUUGGAUUGCACUUCAUUAUUCAACCCAAUAGAAUUCAUCAGUUCAGAACACUCCCUCACAAGUCUUUCCACACAUGAAACAUAACUUUCCAUUUGAUUUAAGAGAUCCCGAUAUCUUUGUUGCACUAGAUUAAUGCCUUCACCUUGAACCUUAGCAAUGACUUCUGCAGCCUGCCUUUUGGCAAGGGAAAGCAUAUCUUGUGAUGUACUUCUUACAGAGAGCUGCAAGACUUGCGCCCAACCAGUGAUCGGACUGGUUGUGAUGUAGUUAACUGGAAGAACUUGCUUCAAGACUAAAGAAUAUUCACCAAGUGAGUCUAAAGCAGAGGAAAGUCCACCCUGUAACUCAGAUAAUAAUUGAGAAACCUCCCUAUCCAAUUCCGAGCACUGUGCUCUUGUUGGUUCUGGUACAACUGUAAGUGGGACUCCUGAUUCUAGGACGGCUGAAAUAAGGCUCAAUGCCUCGUCCUUACAAUUCAACUGCAUGCAUGACUCAACGCAUGCAACAGAGUUCUCCCGUAUAGCAUCAAGAACCAGUGCAUGUUUUUCCACCCAUAUUGCAAGCUUGUUAGCUUCAUCAACUGCCGCAGCUUUUGCUUCUGCUAACUCAUGAGCAUGAAUUUCAAAUGAAGUGCGAGAUUUCUCAGCAACUGAUGUAGCAUCAGCUAGGACUGACUUAGCCGACAUUUCAUGCUGCAAAACACUUGAUCUCUCUUUCUCAGCAUGAUAAAAUAUAGCCGAUGCAGCUUCAUACUGAUCUAAAAUAUCCAAGAAUUUCUGCACAUAGUAAAAGUUAGCAGGAGAUUAAAAAUAUUUUAUUUGAAAUACUUAACCUGUGAGUAACAAAAUUGUAAAGAAUACCUUUAGAGAAGAUACUGUAGCUGGCAAAUUAGUUAAGAAAAGAUCCUUGUGCUCCUGGCAAAAGGAAAGCGUUCAAUCAGAUAGUGACAAUAAUAAUAAAAAUAACUUAUAGUUCAGGACAGGCAACAUCACAAAAUGGGCCUCAAUCCUGAAACAGUAAUCAUAGUGUUCAUGUACUAGUGUGUGAAAGAUGGAGUCAGAGCCAAUGUGUGAGUUCCUCUCUAGAGGUCUUGGGUCAAGUUUGAAAUUUGAGACAGAGGUACAAUAUUAGAUGUGUGUUAGAGAGAGAGAAAAAAAGAUGGAAUCAGAGAGGCUAUAUCAUCCAUUUUAUUCCUACAACCAUAGUUCUUAAGGCGUAAAGGCGAGGCAUGACAAUGCGCCACCGCUUGGACGCCCGCCUUGGAUGCCUAGGCGCCCGCGUUGCCCGCCUAGGCGACCAUUUUGCAAGGCGCUGGGGGGUCGCCUGGACGCCAUAAGAACACUGCCUACAACCUUAUCAGAAAAAAAUCAUAGAUUUUUUUUUAGAUAAUGGAUAAAAAAAUCUAUGAUAUUUUUCAGAACCAAUCAUAGAUAAUGAAACAAUUAUUAAUCAUGCACCACUAACCUACUAUAUAUUUCUUAGGAAUAAAUUAAACAAGAAAGUUUGGUUAUAAACUUAUAACCAUGCAUACAACAUCAGUUAGCUAAUUUGAUAGUGUCCCUACGUUUGCUUCAAUCACUGAUAAGUACAAAUUUUAUAUAUCAAACGGUACGCCAUCAUCUUCAGUAAGCAACUUUGGCCAGCAAAAUUAUUGGUAAAGGGAAAAACAUGUUUGGAAGUACUUCUGAUGACAAAUAACAAUCUAAAAGUGCAACCUUCAUGUUUAAGAACUAAUAAAUCUAAGCAGUCAAAGCUAAAGUCUGACCACUCAAAUUCUAAAACGGUGUAUAUUUCUGGGAAGAAGUUUUACUUAGUAAAUACAAUAAGAGUGCAGAUUUUCCACAAUGAAGCGUGUGUUUAGUAGCACCUCCCUGUUAAAUUAAUCACAAAUGAUAGAUGCAGAGAAACUUUCCAACUCGAAUAGAUAACAGUUACCUGCAAAGGAACACGGAUUUCUUGAAUUCUAGAAGAGAACAAGCUCAAACUAACUGCUAAUUCCAUUCCUUUCUUCUCUUCACCGGCAAUUCCUGCUUCAUCUUGGAUAUUUCCACGUGUCCACUCAAUCAAUGGAUCCCAAACAAAUACUUCCAACAACAUCAAGAUGAUAUCUUUGUUCUUCAAGAGGACAUCCAUAACUUCCUCACAAGUAACUCUAAAAACACCUUCCACGCCAGUCAAUCCUAAAGCUGAUUCAAUAGUUUGAGUGAGACGGAAUGGAACAAUUUCUGGAAUCUUCAACCUCUUCCCUUUAUCAAAGCAUAUGUUGUAAUCAAUAUGAACUACAUCCCCAUUGCUGAAAUCCAUAAGAAUGUUGUCCAAAUGUCUAUCUCCAAGACCCAGCAUAUGGCCAACUAUGCUCAUGGCUGCUACGCUGCUGGAGAAUCUGCAAUGAGAAAAUGAUUCAUAGUUAAGCAAUCGUCAACAGCAAAUUUAGUUAUCAGGCAUUAAAAUUAUUAAAAUCAAGAAGAAAGAAGGGCUAUCAUAGCACUCUUUGGUAACCUGCGUUAUGUUGAACAAAUGAGUAACCAAUAAUUUGUUCAUCAAUGCAUUUUGACCUUAUUUUUCAAAAAAAAAAUGCAUUGUUGACCUUCUUUAAAUUCAGUUACCAUAUGCAUUAAAAUACAUCAUUGCAUGGGAAGGGUUACUUCACAAAGUUACUUAGGCCCUGUUUGGAUGCAUUAGCUGCUAAUAGUUAGCUAGCUCAGGAGUUUCUCUCCCUUGCACUAUUCUUGUCUCUCCUUUGUAUUCUUUCUCUUCUUAAUGAAAUGACAAGCAGCUCUCCUCGUCGUUUGAGGGAAAAAAUAGUUAGCUAGCUAAUAGCUCACACCUGAUAUUAGCUAGCUAGAUAAUUAUUAGUUGCUAUUAGCUGUGAAAUAGUUGUUAGUUGGGUAUUCAGCUAACAAUUAGCUGGACCCAUUUGGAUCCAAAGAAGCUAAUUGUUAGCGGCUACAGUAACUGAUAGCUCUAAUGGAUCCAAACAGGGCCUUAUACACACAAAAUUCUUAACCAGAGUUCCUAAUACUAACAUGAGUUUUUGUUAGAGUAUGUGUAAUGCAGGCCCAUGUGGCUAGGCCCAUGAGGCCCAUGUAUCCCUAAUUAUAUGGCACCCUGGUUAGGGUUAGCCCAAUCAAUGAAACCCUAAUUCUAACAUGGUAUCAGAGCUCAGGGGCGUCCGCGACGUCCUCCACGGCAUCAGCACGCGCCCCGUCCGCAGGCGCUCGCGCUGCAGCCGCGCGAGCCGCCGCGUCCGCGUGCACCGCUGCCUCCGUGCGCGCCGCAGUGUCCGCGCGCGCCGCAGCCUCUGCGCGCGCCGCGGCGUCCGCACUCCGCAGCGACCGCCGGUUCCGCGCCCGCGACGGCCGCCAGGAGGAGAGGAGUGCGGGCCGCGCCCGCUGGCUGCUGCAGAGGAGGUCGGGGCUGCCCCCCCGCGGCGGCGGCUGAUUCCGCGCCCGCGAUGGCCGCCAGGAGGAGAGGAGGGCGGGCCGCGCCCGCUGGCUGCUGCAGGGGAGGUCAGGGCUGGCCACCCGCGGCGGCGGCUUGGGCCCAGGAUGGGCAGGGGAGCGCCGGAAACUGCUGGAAAUAGGGAGGAGGAGGAGGGGGAGGAGGCUCCCGGCCUGCCAUGGCGGCGGCAGCGGCGCCCAGGCAGCUGGUCGGCCGGCGGCGGCGGCUGCUGGCCUGGAGGCGGCUGGGCGGAGGAGGAGGAGGAGGAAAACCUUGGCUGGUACCAUGUUAGGCAUGAGAAGAACUAUAAAAAGGAAGACGAACAUGACGGCCCAGUUGGCACGCAUGACACAAAUGCUCAUCGUGAGCCCGAGUACAUCGAAUAUCGGAACUACGACUAAGCUGCAUCAGGGCAUCACGUCCAGGAUGGCCGAGACGCCGGUGCCAAGUAGUGGAGAUGGAUCUACACUUCGUCCGGGACCGGGUCGCUGUCGGCGAUGUUCGGGUCCUCCACGUCCCGACUACCUCCCAGUUCGCCGACAUCUUCACCAAGGGUCUCCCGUCCUCGACCUUCACCGAGUUCCGCUCCAGCCUCAACAUCACCAGUGGCUAGUUGUGUCUGUGGGGGGGGCUCGUGUGUUGUCCUUCUUUUCUUGUUCAGUCUGCAAACUCCGCUGCGCCGGUAGUUCAGACUGCUAGGGGGUGUUAGAGUAUGUGUAAUGCAGGCCCAUGUGGCUAGGCCCAUGAGGCCCAUGUAUCCCUAAUUAUAUGGCACCCUGGUUAGGGUUAGCCCAAUCAAUGAAACCCUAAUUCUAACAGUUUUGAACUUUAAAUAAUGAAGAUGCCCUGCACACACAUCAAACUCUUGUCAACGCUAGUAGAAUCAAAUCCAUGACAAAGUACUGUGCACAAAACUGGGAAGACUGUCUUCACCUCAGCUUCCACGGAAGGCCCAAAUACCAAAUACUAAGGACUAGGGAUUUGCAACCAUUUAGUUCAGCAAAUUCUCCUCUUUCUUUCUUCCAAGAAAAGAGUAAACAUCUUUUUUCCUUCAACUAUUGUUUAAGAAUAUGUUCUUUACUCAUUAAGGAUUAAGAGUGCAACAGUCAACUAAAGCAAAAAUUCAAUUUAAUAUAUAAUUAUAUACUCCCUCCAGUGACAAAAAAAUGUCGUUAUGGACAAGAUUUAAUUAAACCUUUAGAAAAUAAGUUUAGCUUGAAAACAUAUAAGUUAUGCGUGUAAUUGUACUGAAAAAUACUGCAGGAUAUUAUAGGUGUGAAAGAUUUUAAGAAUAUAUUCUAGAAGAAAUUAGUGGUCAAAGAUAUACAUCGUAGACUAUACAAAGUCAAAUGUGACAAGUAUUUGUGAACAGAAGGAGUAUGUCUCCUAUGCCUAAUGCAGGAACGGUUUCCCAGAAUACCAACAACUAACAGCCUACUCGUUCUUUGAGGAAGUAACAACUAGUAGCAGAGAAAAAAUACACAAUCUUUUCCCAGGAAGGUCAGGGUGUUGAGCUGCUGGCCUCCCCUAACAGUGGCAAAGAGCAAGUGGUGGCGGAUAAUGUAAAUUCUGUGUUCAAAAUAAAGGUGCCAUGCUUCCACAUACCUAUUUACUUUGGAGUUAAAGUUUCUGAACCCUUCGCUUGCACACCACAUUUCUUGCCACAGAAUCUGUUUCGGAGUCUCAUUCAUAAGCUCCAAUAGAACUUUUCUUUUAACGUCUAGUGGCCAAUCUCUUCGUGAGACUACCCUUUUGAUCCCUUUUUCUUUCAGUGCUGGUAUAAUCUUCCCAUAGAACAUGUCACUUGGACGGGGAACAGGUGCAACAGGGUUGUGAAUGUUAC